rnacentral:rRNA from 1 species
UACCAGACUCCUACGGGAGGCAGCAGUGGGGAAUAUUGCACAAUGGGGGAAACCCUGAUGCAGCGACGCCGCGUAAGUGAAGAAGUAUUUCGGUAUGUAAAGCUCUAUCAGCAGGGAAGAUAAUGACGGUACCUGAGUAAGAAGCCCCGGCUAACUACGUGCCAGCAGCCGCGGUAAUACGUAGGGGGCAAGCGUUAUCCGGAUUUACUGGGUGUAAAGGGAGCGUAGACGGCAUGGCAAGUCUGAAGUGAAAGCCCGGGGCUCAACCGCGGGACUGCUUUGGAAACUGUUAAGCUGGAGUGCAGGAGAGGUAAGUGGAAUUCCUAGUGUAGCGGUGAAAUGCGUAGAUAUUAGGAGGAACACCAGUGGCGAAGGCGGCUUACUGGACUGUAACUGACGUUGAGGCUCGAAAGCGUGGGGAGCAAACAGGAUUAGAUACCCCGGUAAA